UACGUAGGGGGCAAGCGUUGUCCGGAUUUAUUGGGCGUAAAGAGCGUGUAGGCGGCUAGGUAGGUCCGUUGUGAAAACUCGAGGCUCAACCUCGAGACGCCGAUGGAAACCAUCUGGCUAGAGUCCGGAAGAGGAGAGUGGAAUUCCUGGUGUAGCGGUGAAAUGCGCAGAUAUCAGGAGGAACACCAGCGGCGAAGGCGGCGCUCUGGGCCGGAACUGACGCUGAGGAGCGAAAGCGUGGGGAGCAAACAGG
rnacentral:rRNA from 1 species